CAGCAGCCGCGGUAAUACAGAGGGUGCGAGCGUUAAUCGGAUUUACUGGGCGUAAAGCGUGCGUAGGCGGCUUCUUAAGUCGGAUGUGAAAUCCCUGAGCUUAACUUAGGAAUUGCAUUCGAUACUGGGAAGCUAGAGUAUGGAAGAGGAUGGUAGAAUUCCAGGUGUAGCGGUGAAAUGCGUAGAGAUCUGGAGGAAUACCGAUGGCGAAGGCAGCCAUCUGGCCUAAUACUGACGCUGAGGUACAAAAGCAUGGGGAGCAAACAGGAUUAGAUACCCCAGUAGUCCCUGUCUCUUAUAC
rnacentral:rRNA from 1 species